GACGAACGCUGGCGGCGUGCUUAACACAUGCAAGUCGAACGGAAAGGCCCUGCUUUUGUGGGGUGCUCGAGUGGCGAACGGGUGAGUAACACGUGAGUAACCUGCCCUUGACUUUGGGAUAACUUCAGGAAACUGGGGCUAAUACCGGAUAGGAGCUCCUGCUGCAUGGUGGGGGUUGGAAAGUUUCGGCGGUUGGGGAUGGACUCGCGGCUUAUCAGCUUGUUGGUGGAGUAGUGGCUUACCAAGGCUUUGACGGGUAGCCGGCCUGAGAGGGUGAACGGCCACAUUGGGACUGAGAGACGGCCCAGACGCCUACGGGAGGCAGCAGUGGGGAAUAUUGCACAAUGGGCGGAAGCCUGAUGCAGCAACGCCGCGUGCGGGAUGACGGCCUUCGGGUUGUAAACCGCUUUCGCCUGUGACGAAGCGUGAGUGACGGUAAUGGGUAAAGAAGCACCGGCUAACUACGUG
rnacentral:rRNA from 1 species